ensembl:lncRNA
UCCUGGCGUUUAGGUGGAGCUGUACGGAGCUGCGAAGGGCAGCGGGGGCCGCGGGCCUGGGGCGUGUGGCAGGAGAGGGGGUGCUGCCCACUUGAGAACGCUGAGGGGAUCGUGGCUCCCACGCCUGUCGGGCUGCGGAGACCGAGCUCGUGGUCGCGUGUCUGUAGCAGGAGGGUCGGUCCACACCUCCUCCGGACAGCCUCCGCCGCUAGCUCGGUGCGCGUCGUGGGAGGGCCGUUACACACUUCCUGUGGGUCUCCCGGACCACAGCGCGUUUCCGGUGCCGGCUGGAGGCCGGGGUCCGAGCCCCCGCCCCGCUCGCCGGCCCCGCCCCCGCCCGCGCCCCGCGCCCCGCCCCCCGCCUGCCCGCCGCGUUCGGAGUCGGGCGCGCGGAGCCCGGGGCGCACGGAGUGGCGCGUGCCGGUCGGCGGAGCCAGGCUGGCGCCCCCGCCCCCAGCCCCUCGGUCCGUCGCCCGUCCGGCGCCUUCCCGUUCUACUUGUCUUCGCUCACCGGCCCUGUGGCCGCGCUCCCUCUCUUCCCUCCGUCCCGCCCCCUCCAGCCCCUGCUGCCCGGCUCCUACAGGCCCCCUCGCUGCCCGCGUUCCUAUGGACAGACGCACAGACACCUGCAGGUGGGUGAGAGCCCGCGCGCGGGGCGGGGACGAGCGCGCCGACGCUGCGCCCGGGGCCGGGAGCCCCUUUGUGUGGGGGGCGGUCGCACUGGCGUCCGCGCCGCCUCCCCCCCCUCGGCGGCCUAGCAGUGACCCGGCUGAACCCUCCUUUUGUUCCUCUGGGCUUGGGGGGGGUGGCGCGAGAAGGCCGAGAGUCGGGGCUGAGAGCCGGGCGGCCGGACGUCGCCGGCGACGGCCUCGGGGGCGUGAGGGGGUAGAAACCCCCGGCGGCCGAGCGAGCGGCGGCCGCGGCUCUGGGUUGUCUCUCUGGGGCCGGCCCGCCGCCCAGCAUCCCCUGUCGCCGCCGCGGCCGCGGGCGCGCUGCGUGGGUCUGGCUCGCCCGCUCCCUCUCUGGGGUUUGUUGGAGGUGGGAAGGAGGGCGGGAAAGGGGAAAGAAAAGAUCUGCUCUCUUAGUUUUCAAGUCUUGAGGAGGUUAUGGAGAGAGAGGGAGAGAGGUGUUUCGGGGCUUUGCCAGACUUGUUUCCCUCCCGCGAGGCACGCCAAGGUGCGUUUGGGGCGUGUGUGA